GAUGAACGCUGGCGGCGUGCCUAAUACAUGCAAGUCGAGCGAACGGACGAGAAGCUUGCUUCUCUGAUGUUAGCGGCGGACGGGUGAGUAACACGUGGAUAACCUACCUAUAAGACUGGGAUGACUUCGGAAAACCGGAGCUAAUACCGGCUAAUAUUUUGAACCGCAUGGUUCAAAAGUGAAAGACGGUCUUGCUGUCACUUAUAGAUGGUUCCGCGCUGCAUUAGCUAGUUGGUAAGGUAACGGCUUACCAAGGCAACGAUGCAUAGCCGACCUGAGAGGGUGAUCGGCCACACUGGAACUGAGACACGGUCCAGACUCCUACGGGAGGCAGCAGUAGGGAAUCUUCCGCAAUGGGCGAAAGCCUGACGGAGCAACGCCGCGUGAGUGAUGAAGGUCUUCGGAUCGUAAAACUCUGUUAUUAGGGAAGAACAGAUGUGUAAGUAACUGUGCACAUCUUGACGGUACCUAAUCAGAAAGCCACGGCUAACUACGUG
rnacentral:rRNA from 1 species